rnacentral:rRNA from 1 species
AUUGAACGCUGGCGGCAGGCCUAACACAUGCAAGUCGAGCGAGCGGCGGACGGGUGAGUAAUGUCUGGGAAACUGCCUGAUGGAGGGGGGUAACUACUGGAAACGGUAGCUAAUAUCGCAUACCAUCAGAUGUGCCCAGAGGGGGUUAGCUGGGAGGUGGGGGAACGGCUCACCUCGGCGCCGAUCCCUAGCUGGUCUGAGAGGAUGACCAGCCACACUGGAACUGAGAAACGGUCCAGACUCCUACGGGAGGCAGCAGGGGGGAAUAUUGCACAAUGGGCGCAAGCCUGAUGCAGCCAUGCCGCGUGUGUGAAGAAGGCCUUCGGGUUGUAAAGCACUUUCAGCGGGGAGGCGUUACCCGCAGAAGAAGCACCGGCUAACUCCGUGCCAGCAGCCGCGGUAAUUC